rnacentral:lncRNA from 1 species
CCGAAAGUCUGUUUUCAGCAUUGUGGGUGGGCCAGUAUUACAGGACACAGCCAAAAUAUGGAAUGGAGGGCUUACUAACUUCAUCGAUUGAUACAACACUUUUGGAGAUUCUACAAUACACAGGCAGUGUGCGCUCACUGUGAAGAAAUCUCAGGAAGGUCAGACAUGGGCUUAUCACUGUGGACUCCUAGCACAGCAACAGAGAACACAGGCCCCAGUACAAGCCUCGGCACAAGAGAACAAGGUAAUCCCCCAAGAGCUAUGUGGGGGCAAUGGGAAAAUUACUCUCUGAC